UGAGGAACAUGACCUUCAGCGGGGGAUAGCCGGCCCAACGGCCGGGUAAUACCGCGUACGACCACUCGGGGACAUCCCCAGGUGGUGAAAGCAGCAAUGCGCCGAUGGAGUGCCUCGCGGCCUAUCAGCUAGUUGGUGAGGUAACGGCUCACCAAGGCGACGACGGGUAGCUGGU
rnacentral:rRNA from 1 species